rnacentral:rRNA from 1 species
GAUGAACGCUAGCGGCAGGCCUAACACAUGCAAGUCGAGGGGUAGACAUCUUCGGAUGUUGAGACCGGCGCACGGGUGCGUAACGCGUAUGCAAUCUACCUUAUACUAAGGGAUGGCCCAGAGAAAUUUGGAUUAAUACCUUAUAGAAUGUUUAAAUGGCAUCAUUUAAUAUUAAAGAUUUAUUGGUAUAAGAUGAGCAU